CGAACGGAAUGGGACAAUAUUUGCUGAUAAGGAGAUGACUUCGCUUGGGCUACUGAAACUGUAAUAUACCGACACUAGCAACCUCUCAGAUGUUAAUCGGGAUUAUUCUUUCUUGACCAGGCACGUCACUACUACGUAGCCGUAUCGUCGCUCGUAACGAUGUCCACCUCACCAGCCCCGCUAGUCAUCACCUAUACGUUCAUAACGCAGUUUCGCCAUCGCUGAGUACGACGCUAGGUACAGCCAGCAAAGGCUGGCGAGGACAAAGAGAAAUUCCGCGUGUUUCGAUGAAGAAUCAACAAAGCAGACCUACAAUCCUAGAAAUCGGCGCAGCAAUCAUCAAUACAACGAAUAAGAGCGCUGUUUCGAAUUUUUCUUAAUAGGAUUUAUAAACGUGUGUCAUUCGCGCAGUCACUGACAGAUCUCGCUUUUUAUUGUUGUCAGAAUCGUCUACUAUGGAGCUUCCAUCCCUGGACAAUAGAUGAUGUUUUUGAUGUACGUUUCCGUGCUAAAAAGGCUGCGCAGGAGUCUCGCGGUAGUCGUUCUAGGCACGAUGAGUACAUUACAGAUGACACAUGUGCGCUUAUUCGACGGUUAUCUUCUUUCAAAAGAAGCCCAGCCCGUUGUGAUUGUCUCUCUUACUCAAAGAUCGAAGGAAACUUGCAAGAGCGGAAUCUUCAGAUGACUGACGAAAUCCAGGGGUCGAGACUUGCUUCUACAACUGAACUCGGAAGUUGUUUGAACGACUGGAGAAAAAUAGUACGAUUAAAAUUCGGGCAAUUGAGGCAUACCAAGUUAGUAUCGAGGCAAAUUUUCGAUGCUAACUAAUGUUUUCAUAUUUGAUGGGUAUAAACUGAGCUUUUAUCAGUGACAACAACGUACAUUUUCAGGCUACCAAGGAUCUUUUCGUUUUUAUUAAUAUUGCAAAUAAUAAUAAUAUUGCCACUGGCUUUGUUGUUCUUGUUCGACAAUAUCUGUCUCUGUGUUUGGGAUGUGUUGCGGUUGUUCUUUCGAUAAGCACAGUGACCAUGCGUGACACGCCGUAUCGUCGACAACAUUCGUGUCGGCGGUCGCGUACAUACUGUCUGCCUAGCUUAUAUAUUUUGUUCUUUUUUUUUUUGUUCGAUUGAAACUUAUUCAUUCACUUACGUAUAAAAUAUGAUGCUAUCGUGCGAAAUAGAUAUGUAAUUCGGCCGUUGGAUCCUAGCUGAUCUACGCAAAAACACAAACACAGCUUUGUAUACGGGUUUUGGCAGCGCUGCUGUAUCGAUGAUUAUCGCGUCUUGCUAUCGUUUUUUUUUGCUGUUAUCGGUCUUUUUUUCUUUGACAUUUACGUGCUUUUAUCUCGUACAUGUAUACGCAUCGAAGAAUGCUGAGGCUGUUCUACCAUCUGGGGUGGCAUAGCCCUACGAUCUUCAACUGUUUCUGUUUCCAGAUAGCAAGAGUAGCAGUAACUAUAAAUAAAACUCCAAAAAAAAAGCAAACCGAAGCCGUAACGCGCGGCAUGGAUGAACAGUAACGUCUUCUUUAAGGUGGUCAACAGUGAUCCAAUUAGAAUUGAUACAAGAACACGGCUGCUUUGUCCACGGUGCUGUCGAUGCUGCUAUCGCUACCACUUAGCUGAUAAAACAUAUCAUAUCGAUUAUUCGCCCGUCGAUUUAACAUAAAAAUUCAGUGUACGCCAAACUGUACAGCGUAGUAUUAUUGACUGUGGCAGCAGCAAGUGUAGCUCAAAACGAGUGCUAAGGAAGCAAAAGAAACAAUAACAAACACGCAGCAAAUGGACGCCAACGGCCAAGACAAUGCUAUAACAACAGAGAGCUACAGGCUAUCCAGCAAUUACCAACACGUUUACAAACAGGAUAAUAUAGUCGACGUAACGAUCCGUUCGAUCGUACGUAACGAUCCCCCUGCGGGACGAUCUAUCAAUUUAUUAUGAUAUACAGGCUUGUCCGGAUCGAAAAAAGAAGUGAAAGCAGGUUAUAUUUUCACUUCUCUUUUCGUCGGUUCUGAUUACCAUCUUACUGUCAACGUCACAGAAGGUCCAGCUAUUAUGGCCUGGACAAACGCGUCACAAGUCGAAUGAAAACAAAACGACGUAACGGUAACGACAGCACCAUCAUCGUCGGCCUAUUCAUAUCAGCGUACUUCCUGCCGAUAUCGCAUAAUUUAUAUGAGCGUCAUCAAAACUAAACAGUCGAAGUUUUUUCCUCUGUCUGUUUUUUCCCGCUUCUAAAUAGGCUCGGCUACCAACAGUGCAAUCACAAGUUAGUAGGAAAAAAGACAAACGCUCGAAUAACGACGCAUCUGUCAUAAGUAUAGAGGUGAAUGCAAUGGCAGCUAGGAGGAUUCUGACCUGUAUUACAUUGAUUAUUCCACCCGGUAUAUUACCCAUAGUAAUAGCGUUAGUGAUAUUAUCAUAAGAAUAAGUUUAAUGUUCCCGCAUCAGUCGACCUUCGUCAAUUAUCUGUUCACGCCUGCCUCGCUGUUACUUAUUAACUACUAGCAUUAUAAGUAAGAACUUAAAUUAAGUUGAAUUAGGUAUAGGGCGGGAUUUCUGUUGCGGUUUGAUUUUACGGUCCCAGGAAAGGUUCCGUUUAGAUAGUGAUAUUUAUCUAAUCAGCAGCAUACAACCUGCAUCUUCUUCCACCUCGAGCAAAUUCUUCUUCUUAUAGUUGAUUACCCAUGGUCAGAGCCCAUGGAGAACGCUUUUACCUAUCAGGUAAAAGUGAACGGAGCUCACGAUUCUAUAUUGUAUAUAUAUAUUAUACGAUUCUAUAAUGUAAAACAGCGCACAUUCAGUGGCUACAACUAAGAGACCUAUCACGAUGCACUUCGUUCCGUGAAUUGAAUGUAGUGAAAGGUUGAAAUCAACUUCGCAAUUCGACAACUAGCGCUGAUGUAACUUUUUCAAUUAGCACGAUAACAAGCUAUAUAUCACUGAUGCAUUUAAAAGUAAAAUUACUGCUGUAAUAUUUCGUAAUGUGUAAUUAUUAGCAACCCGCUAAGGAAAAAGCUAUUUCACGAAAUCGAAUGGCAACAGGCAAGCACAAGCCAUGGCCACAACAACAGACAGAUUUAACAAACGACAACUAAAAUAAAUAAAGUUUUACCUGUUUUCUGUAAUACGUAAGUUCUUUCCAACAAACUCUUGUUCAAUUGCACAAGAUAACGAACGGUGUUACUUAUUGCUCCAAAACAAGGCAAUAACUGAUAUCGACUGAACCAGUGUUAACCAAUGUCGUCCGAUGAGAGAAACAGUGAUGUCCCACAUUAGCCCAUCAGCUCUUUCAACCUCAUCGUCUUUGUGUCCAUAAGUCCCCUAAGACUUGCCAUUGGCCUUGGAGCGAUUUUUAUCCCUAUGAGUUAUAUUGCGACGGACGGAUACACACAAAAUGUCCGACCGAAUCGAUAUUGAUCGGCAAUCACUGCAAUCUAGAUAAGGACGCUAGCAAAAUCGGAUGUAGCAGAGACACCCCAAACGACAGCCCGCACGAGUAUCUUUAUAAUCAAUCGUUCCGUAUAAGUCCUCUACCUGGAUAGGGAAAUUUGUAUAUAGCGGGACUCUUGCAAGUCAAGCAAUAUUGUAGCCCCAUUGAACUUCUGUCUAAAUUGGUUGACGCAGUGAUAAGCAACUCAUGUUGUUUCUGCUGUAUUUUAAAUCCGUAAGUAUAUAAACACUGUGCUUAUAGCGCAAACGAAACAUGA
rnacentral:lncRNA from 1 species